rnacentral:rRNA from 1 species
UACGAAGGGGGCUAGCGUUGCUCGGAAUCACUGGGCGUAAAGCGCACGUAGGCGGAUUGCUAAGUCAGGGGUGAAAUCCUGGAGCUCAACUCCAGAACUGCCUUUGAUACUGGCGAUCUCGAGUUCGGGAGAGGUGAGUGGAACUGCGAGUGUAGAGGUGAAAUUCGUAGAUAUUCGGAAGAACACCAGUGGCGAAGGCGGCUCACUGGACUGGUAUUGACGCUGAGGUGCGAAAGCGUGGGGAGCAAACAGG